rnacentral:lncRNA from 1 species
UGGGCUUGACCUUUGCUGGUGUGAUGCUGGAAUUUGAAGGCAGAAGCAUGGGAGCAUUGGAGAACGAGGCUUUGAGAAGGCCAGGUCGAUGAUUCCCUGUAGCAAAUACGGUUCACAUCACGAUGAAGAAAUGGUACUGUUACAGUCACAAACAUGAGAAAACCAUAUGGAAAAUGCAAAAUAGAAUGAAUAUCGAUGUUUCUUGCCACUUUAUUCACAGGUGGGCUUAAAGCGUGACACAAGAAUAAAAAAAUGGAGCACACAUAGCACUACCUAAGUGCAUAAGCAUGGACACGAGGGUUUCCAAAUAUAUAGCAAAUUAAAGAAAAUUAUUUUUUAAGGUAUCUAUAAGUGUAAAUGCAGCACAAAUGCAACAAUCACAAAUCAAUACAUUCAUUACAUAACAUAGCUGAAUUGAAGAUGUUUCAAAGAAUGAAUGCUACAAUAGAAAUAACAAAAAAAAACAGCAAUCUUAAGCUAUAUUUGUUUCCUAGAAAAUUUUAGGGAAAAUGAGGAAAUAAAAUAGAGAGGAAAAGCAGAAAGAACAGAAAAAAAUUAAAGUCAAUAAAUUAUUUUUAUUCCUUCAAACUCAUUUUACUUAUUUUAAUUCUUCUAUAUAAAGAUUAAAUAAUUUAAAAAUAUACAAGUUUAUAACUAAUUUUAAUUAUAUUUGAUUUUCUUGCAUAUUUUUCAUGGUAAAACCAAACAUGAGAAAAUUAUUUUUCUUUCCUAAGUACUUUCCUAGAACCAAACAUAGUAAUAAAAAAUUAUGAUAUGUGAGAGAGUUAGGACUGCCACUGCUUGAAAACCAGUUUAGACUUCACAAAGAUGGCCUGGUAAAGUUGCUGCAAAGAUGAAGAAGUACACCAGUAAGGAGUAAUUUGGUGUGAAUUGAAGACACAAAGCCAAGAGGGGAAGCCCAAAAAGAACAAUAGCCCAAGUUAUAAGAAACUUUCACCCAAAAAGAUAAGCUACCAGAAGAGAAUGGAGGAAAAGGCAUGGCCCUAGACAUUAAAGUGAAGGAAAAGAAAUUGUGGUGCUGACCCCAAGCACUGAGACAAGACAUUGUUGAAUUGAGUUGUUUGGUGCCCCACUCACUGGAAAAAUAGACAUCAGUUUGCCUUGGAUCUUGCUCAAUUCUAUGUAACAAGAAGCAAACUUAAAUUUUCUCACCUCUACUAGAAAGGGGUGAUAAAAAAUUAUCCAGAGGAUAUUGAAUCUAGAUAAGGUUUAGACCAUGACAAUAUAAAUAUAGUUGCCAAAUGAGCCAUUUGAUGCCAUGAUUUCUCAGGAAAGAAGCUAGCUCAAUCAAGUUGUCUUAAUAGUUGCAGAAAUAAUCAUGGCAGAUUGCUCCCUAAGGGACCCAUUAGUGGAGAAAUUUGCUGCAUUAAAGAUGAGCAUAUCUUAUUUGGUCAUUAAGGAGUAGCUAUAUAUUCUCAGAGAAAAUACUGAUUUUAAAUCAGGCCAUGGACUUCAAUCAAGUGAUAUUAGCAUAAACAAAUAGCAGAGCAUUUUCAAAAUUUACCUGAAGACGGUUGAGUACAUAAGUAUAUUUUCCCCAUAGCUCUGGUCGGCUUUCCAUAAAGGACAGAUCAAGAAUUCGAUGAAUGCACCACACCCCAAAGCUUAUUACCAAAUCCACUCUCCAUACACAGCCCUCUCCACAAUGAGGAACCGAGGAAACAAGCAGUAGUGCAGAACCAGAUUUCCUAUCAGAAGAAGAGUACUGAGCCUCCCCCAUGUUAACCCCCC